GCCUCCGCGUGUCGCCCCAUCCAGCCAUCAGUUCCACCCCAGCUGCGAAUCCGGCGCGCUACUAACCGCCGGGGGACCGAAAUUUCCCCAGCCGCAAGUUUCGGGACCGGAACAACAAUGGCAGCAGCAGCCGUCGCCUCCAGUUCCACCCCGCGGCCGCUCCGGUUGGCGCAGCGCGGGGCGGUCUCUGCGCACGCGUCCCACCACGUCAGCGCCCCGCCCCACCGCUCCCGCAGGCCGCGGCUCUCCGUCUCGGCCUCAGCCGGGGUGGAGGGGACCAGCGGGUCGGAGCGGUUCUACUUCAACUUCACCGGGUUCCCCUUCCCGCUCGGCCCGUUCCUCAACCGCCGCACCAUCCGCACCGAGGCGGUGAAGGGCAGCAUAUGGCUGUUCGAGCAGGAGCAGGCGCUGGGCUUCAGCAGCGUCUCCACCAACAUCCGCAUGACGGUCAUCAAGCUCAAGUCCGGUGGGCUCUGGGUGCACGCGCCCAUCGCGCCCACGAAGGAGUGCAUCCAGAUGCUCAAGGAGCUGGACGCGCCGGUGGAGCACAUCGUGCUGCCGACCUUCGCAUACGAGCACAAAAUCUUCGUCGGGCCCUUCUCCAGGAAGUUCCCCAAGGCUCAGAUAUGGGUGGCGCCCAGGCAGUGGAGCUGGCCAAUCAACCUGCCGCUCGAGUUCUUCGGGAUCUUCCGGGCCAAGCCGCUCAAAGAUGAGGAUGACGCCACGCCCUGGGUCGCCGAAAUCGAGCAGAAGGUGCUCAGCUCUCCGGAAGUUGGGAUUGGGCCAUAUGUGGAGGUGGCGUUCUACCAUAAGCCUUCACGGACACUACUGGUGACCGAUGCUGUCAUAUUUGUUCCUCAACAGCCACCGGAGUGUAUCAGCAAAGAAUCUCUGUUGGCAUCUGCGAAGAAUGGACUGGCAGUGAAGCUAUUGAGCAAAGGGAAGGAGGUUCCCGAUGAACCAGUUGUUGACAAUAAGCUAAACCGUCAGAAAGGGUGGGAGAGAAUGGUACUUCAAAUACUAUUUCUUGGUCCGUCAAAUCUACUUGAGCCAAAUGCAAGUUUUGCUCAAAUGUCGCAAAAAUUGAUCGUCUCACCUAUUGUCAAGACGCUCGUUUUCAGCAAAGUUCCAGAGAAGGUCUUAGCAUUAGGCAGUUCUCCAGCCCUGGUAUAGUUCGCACAAGGGACAAUUGCAAUCUCUCAGGAAGCCCAGUAGAAAAGCCCUAAUGAAGAUGUAUAAAUAAUCAUAAGUAGUAGGUUUCUCAUCUUAAAAAGAAGGGUUUGGUUGAGCAAUAUUACGCAGACAUUACUUUCACAAACAAAUGGGGACAAGCAGAAAAGAAGCACAAUAUAUGCCAUUUUGUAGAAAAUAUGUUUUACCAUUUUGUAGAAGAUAAACCUGUUUUAAGUAGGGUUUUUGGUCUUGAUGAUUUUCUAUACUAAUGUGGUUGGAUAGCACUUACAGUCACCUUUUUUAUUUGGAAAAAAUAACAAAGACACAUUUGAUUGACAUACAAACUGAUCAAUCCUGUCGAAAUUAGUUGGUAGAGCCGUACAGGAAUGCGAGAUUUAUCAUUUAUGGCCGGAGGAACGUGCUUAACUCAUGGCGAUGUGGGUAAUAAGAAACUGGAAGUAGGUCUAAGGGUUUUCGACUAUCCACAAAACUUAAAGUGCAAACAACCAGUAAAAGAUCGCGCACAGAAGAGCUGGACAAUAAACCUGUCCCCAAAACUCAAAGUAACUCGGCGGCAGGCUAGGGGAUGGGUACCUCGAUAGGGUGAAGGCUUCAAGUCGAGGUGGUGGCGUGAGGUCUUCGACCUCGACGACGGGGGUACGACGUCCCUGCCUCAGAUGGGCCGCGUCGACGACAUCGCGACAGUGUUGAAGGCACAACAAUGCCUGCCAUUCCUGAGGAUUGAGCGCACGAUAGAGGAGAGUAAACGGAGCGGGGGGCUGCGAAACGCGUGGGGUACCUCGACGGCGUUAGUACGAGUACCUCGACGGGGUGGAGGUUUCAAGUCACGGCGAAGAUGAGGCACCUCAGAGGCGUGGGGACCUCAAGUCGCAGCGGUGGUGGGAGGUCUUCGACGCAGGCGACCGAGGUACCUCGUCGCUGCCUCGGAUGGGCCGGUGGUGGCACAGAUCCGGGUGCCUGCAGCGGGAUGCGUGGCCAGGAGGUGGCGGCAUGACCUGGCGGUGAAGGGCGCGCCAUGGGCGCUCGGAGGAGGUGGGGCCCGCGAUCGAAGGCCGAACGAAGGAGGCUGGAGGAGGGAGACGAGAUGGAGUCGUGGGAGCGCUGCUGGGGAGGUAGUAAAGAGGAGGGUGGCCGCCCCUGGCCUCAAAGCGGUAGCUGCCGACGGCAUGGACGACCUCGUAGUCGAGCACGACGCCCGGGAGUGUGGGGCUCGGGAGGGACACGACCUUGUGGAGUGUGGCGAGCGAGCCAGAGGAGGCAACGACACCGGCGUCCUCAGAGCGGACGUCGUUGAGGAAGGGUUGUAGCGAGGCGGUUGCCGAGGGGAGGGGGAGAAGACGAGGCGGCGGAGCGCACGGAGGGAGAUGGAUGGGAGAGCCAGCCAGCAGGUGUGCGACGAGAGAGAGAUGGCGUUUGGAGGGGACGGAAUCAGAGCGAGAAUUGAUAAAGAAUUCAGGUCCGUGGCCGGAGGCCCGUGAAGUGCGGAGAAGAGGCGAAAUCCUAGCGUCUUUUAACUAAAGGUGAGGGACUGGGUUGACAGGAUCGCUGCCGACUGGCGAUUCCGACGGAUAAUCCCUUGCCACUUCGCAGCCCCAAUAAACGCGAGCCGGU